UGCCAGCAGCCGCGGUAACACGAACCGGUCGAACGUUAUUCGGAAUCACUGGGCUUAAAGAGUGCGUAGGCGGCUUGGCAAGUUGGGUGUGAAAUCCCUCGGCUCAACCGAGGAAUUGCGCUCAAAACUGCUAGGCUUGAGGGAGACAGAGGUGAGCGGAACUGAUGGUGGAGCGGUGAAAUGCGUUGAUAUCAUCAGGAACACCGGUGGCGAAGGCGGCUCACUGGGUCUCUUCUGACGCUGAGGAACGAAAGCUAGGGUAGCGAACGGGAUUAGAUA
rnacentral:rRNA from 1 species